rnacentral:rRNA from 1 species
AUUGAACGCUGGCGGCAGGCCUAACACAUGCAAGUCGAGCGGAUGAAGGGAGCUUGCUCCUGGAUUCAGCGGCGGACGGGUGAGUAAUGCCUAGGAAUCUGCCUGGUAGUGGGGGAUAACGUCCGGAAACGGGCGCUAAUACCGCAUACGGCCUGAGGGAGAAAGUGGGGGAUCUUCGGACCUCACGCUAUCAGAUGAGCCUAGGUCGGAUUAGCUAGUUGGUGGGGUAAGGGCCUACCAAGGCGACGAUCCGUAACUGGUCUGAGAGGAUGAUCAGUCACACUGGAACUGAGACACGGUCCAGACUCCUACGGGAGGCAGCAGUGGGGAAUAUUGGACAAUGGGCGAAAGCCUGAUCCAGCCAUGCCGCGUGUGUGAAGAAGGUCUUCGGAUUGUAAAGCACUUUAAGUUGGGAGGAAGGGCAGUAAGUUAAUACCCUGCUGUUUUGACGUUACCAACAGAAUAAGCACCGGCUAACUUCGUG